AGGGUUAUAGUUAAAUAUAACAUUUGAUUUGCAUUCAAAAAUUAUUGAAAAUUUCAAUUUACCUU
rnacentral:tRNA from 1 species